CCUGGCCUACGGGACGCAGCAGUGGGGAAUAUUGCACAAUGGGGGAAACCCUGAUGCAGCGACGCCGCGUGAGCGAAGAAGUAUUUCGGUAUGUAAAGCUCUAUCAGCAGGGAAGAAAAUGACGGUACCUGACUAAGAAGCCCCGGCUAACUACGUGCCAGCAGCCGCGGUAAUACGUAGGGGGCAAGCGUUAUCCGGAUUUACUGGGUGUAAAGGGAGCGUAGACGGCAUGGCAAGUCUGAUGUGAAAACCCGGGGCUCAACCCC
rnacentral:rRNA from 1 species